GGUGACGCUCUUCGCUGGAGGAGAGCAGCUGAUAAAAAGCACCCACACCCCUCCUACGUUUUAGUGCUUUGAAUUAUUUGGCCAGGCGUACGACUCGGCUCCUACGCCGAGGAGCAAGGAGGAGAUUUGCAGGGGGAAGCUGGAAGCGCGUGAAAGAAAUUCGCUAUUAUAAGCAAAAAGGAAAAAAAAAAACGUAAGCGCUAGUGUUUCUCUUUUGCCUUUUUGGGGAGGGGACGUCCGGCUGUCAAACUUGGCAUUUUUGCCAGCCAACCACCGAUCAAAAAAAUAAUAAUAAUAAAAAUCAGCACCUCCAAUUAUUUGGUAUCUCGCCGGUAAAAAGAAACGUCAAAUUCCUCUUUGACCUGGAAGAAAAGUGGUCGCACUGCGCGGACAGUGUCCUUCUGGUCCGUGGGAUGUUUGACUUGAGGAAGCAGGACUGACAGAAGGAGCAUGGUCAGACACCAACCCCUCCAAGUCUAUGAGCGCCAGCUGUGUUUGUCUUGUAUCACCGGGAUCUACGGUUGCCGCUGGAAACGUUAUCAACGCUCUCACGAUGACACCACCAAGUGGGAACUGCUGUGGUCCCUCAUCCUGCUUUUCACCUUCAGCGCUCUGCUGGUCUGGUUCUACUUCUGGUUGGAAGCUCACAAUGACUACAAUGAGUUUAACUGGUCCCUCUACAAUCGCUCUGGCAAGUGGAGCGAUGGCACCGUUCCAGUCUUGGCCACAACCGCCGCUGGCUUCACCUACAUAGCCUUUUUAAUGGUUUUAGCCCUUUGUCACGUUGCACUUGGCCAACAGCUGAAUUUGCAUUGGUUGCAUAAGAUAGGAGUCACUGCGGCCCUUCUCACAACUGUUGUCGGGGUGAUAUCCAUCAAUCAAACUUGGCAACACGAGUGGGACAUCAUCCCCAUCUCUCUGCAGGCCACAGGCCCGUUCCUGCACAUCGGUGCCGUCGCUGCUGUCACAGCUCUGUCUUGGAUAGUGGCCGGGCAGGUCGCUCGUGCAGAAAAAACAUCGUUCCAGGUUGUGGUGGUGCUCCUGUAUCUCAGUUUGUUGCUGGGUCUAUACGUGAUGCCGCUGUACAUCACCUCGCCUUGCAUCAUGGACCCCAGCAACCUCAGGCCCCGUCCAAAUGUUAUUGGUCACCAAGGUGCCCCCAUGCUUGCGCCAGAAAACACAAUGCGGUCCUUUCAGCGAGCACUCCAAAUGAACGUCACUGGAUUGGAGGCAGACGUUGCAAUCAGUGUUGACGGUGUCCCAUUCCUGAUGCGCGACCGCACCCUGCGCAGGACGACCGACGUAGUGAAAAUGUUCCCAGACAGGCAGAUGGAGGACGCCGCGUUCUUCAACUGGACCGAUCUGCAGCAGCUCAACGCAGGACAGUGGUUCCUCAAGGAUGACCCCUUCUGGACGACACGCACUCUAUCGCUCCACGAAAGGAACCUGAUAGCCAACCAGAGUGUGUGCAGCCUUGAACAACUGCUAAAACUGGCCUCUUAUCAUAACACCACUGUGAUGUUCAGACUCAGGAGACCCCCUCUGGGGCACCCUUGUUACCAUAGCUGGAUCAAUGACACUUUGCAGGCUGUGGAGCAAUCUGGGGUUCCUCAAAGUCUGGUAAUGUGGACUCCAGACGAAGACAGAGAUCAGGUAAGAGAGCUUGCACCCGAUCUGGUCCAGACGUCUUUAGUGAAGCAAAGUCCUCAAAGCCUCAGAGAGGCGGACAUCAGCAAGCUGGUACUCCGAUACAACCAGGCAAGCGCUCAGGAAAUCAGGGACUUGUCACAGAAAAACAUCAGCCUUACCCUCUACACGGUGAAUGAGCCCUGGCUGUACUCAGUGCUGUGGUGCAGCCACGUGUCGGCUGUGUCGUCUGAGGCACCGCAUAUCCUCAAAAAGGUGCCUUACCCCAUCUGGCUCCUGAGACCAGAUGAAUACUGCCUGUUGUGGGUGUGUGCAGACCUUAUCUCCUUUGUGGUGGUCAUAGGAAUAUUCAUUUUGCAGAAGUAUCGCUCCAGCAACAUGCGCAGCUACAACCCUGAGCAGAUCAUGCUUAGCGCCGCGGUGAGGAAGUCCAGUCGGGACCUCAACGUCAUGAAAGAGAAGCUCAUCUUCUCCGGUCAAGCCCAGUAGUGGUCUCAGGCCAGGUCUGCGCCCUCAUCCUUUUUUAUUCCGCGUCUGCCUCGCUACCUGCUGUCCUUUGUCUGCAUCCGCCAUCCCUCCAUGCAAUCCGCCUUCCACCUCCCCCCACCUCCCCUCCCAACUCCGCCAUGCUUGGGAAGCUUGUAUGACCCCUGGUUUGUCUUAUACUGGGGCAAUUUGAGAGGUGGGGAAUGGCGUCGGGAGCGGCGAGGAGCUCUACACGGAUGGCCCCAAUGGCUAUGACUACUACACGGAAAGAGGUGGGAGUUAAUGAUGGAGGAACUGCUUGCUUUGUGUACAUUUUGUAAAAUAAACUUCGGCUCAACGGAUGCUAUUUGGACUCAGCACUUUUCAAGCCAUGGAAGGUCUCUGGCUUAUUUGUCAUUUUUAAUAGGAGAGGUCCAUAUUCUUCAUUUCAAGCUCAUUCUCCCAAAAAGGAGUUCAAUUUUAAGCACUGAUACCUGUUUUUAAUAUAUAUAUAUAUAUAUAUAUUAUACCAUAUACAUACACAUAUAUAUAUAUGAACUGUAUUUCAGCAUGAAAAAUGCUUCCAGCUCAUUUUCUUGCUCUGGUGUGUUUUGUGAUUUCUAUCUAAAGUGUUUCACAGUGUAAAUGCUUUGUAAGGAAGUCCUGCGGGUGCGUGAAACAGUUAUGAUCAUAGAAGAUGUAUGUGAGCUGUACAGUCGGGAUGAAACGGGACACAAAACUGUUACUCCUCUCUUCAAACCACUUCCAGUAUGUAUCCCGAUUGGUUUUGUGUGUGUGUGUGUGUGUGUGUAAACAUGUGUUUAGGUUGUGUGACGUGCAUGUGAUGCUUUGCUACGUAAAACACAAAUGUGAGUCAUGUGAUGGACCUUGUUUCACUUGGCUGUAGUCAAGUCUACACUGGGUCUUGUUUACAAACCAAAAGCAUCUUCGUGUCACUUGCUGCUGUAAAAAUAUGAAGUGUGAAUAGAACUAAGUUAACUAAAGGGCCACUAACGGGAGAGCAACUUGCCUUGUGUGUUAAUUUACUCAUUGGAUUGUACUGUGCCUCAGAAGUGAAAUAAAAUUAAAACAACUUCUAGUCAGUCUA